UAUAUUACAGAACUGAAAACAGAAAAAUCAGGGAAAUACUUUUCCGUUAGUAACUCCUUAAUUUUUUUUGGUUUACAUUUUUUUACUUUUUUUUUAUACAAAAUAUACAAAAUAAUUACCGAUUCUAGCAAGGUGUUUUCAUGCUCUUUAAACAUGAUGAUGCUCCCUGAUUUAAAGAUCUCAUGCUUUUUAUUUUAAAAUACCUUUACCAUCCCAUAACCAGAUGGGAACAGUUCCAGACAAAGUAACUACAUUCCGACAUUGGAUCUGCAAGUAGCAAACACGGCUAAUGGUCGAUAGUGGUUUUAACGAAGGGUGGAUCCUACAGAAAAUUAAACAGAUUUUUCCUCUCAGGGGGAAUCCUAUAAAAAGUACCUCUCGCAGGGCAACAUUUGUUUCAAUUUUCCCCAGCGUAUACAUUUUCCACUAUCGUCGCCCCUUAAAGGAAAAUCCUGGUCAUCAGACAACAGAAGGACUGAAUGUCACAUUGUCAGACCCCAGAUCUUGAACACUGUAGGUCUCACCAAAAUAUACUGUAAAUAAAUUUGAAGCAAAAUAUAAAACCAAACAAAUAAAUAAGAAGUUCUGGGAUUCCCUGAAAGGCCAGUACACGCCACUUAACAUGUUCAAGUCAAGGGGAACGGGAGAGUUUAUGUGCAAGAUCCCGCUCAGCACAUAGUGACAUCAUAGAAUGAAGAACGGCCCCUCUCCCGCUUACAAACUCACUGUAGACAGAGCUGAGUAUGACAUCUUAUGUUUGCUGGGACAAAAAUAUCACAAAAAUGUAACAUUGGGUCAGUAAGUUCCACCCCAUUUAUUCAGUACUUUGAGGGGACUUAGUUGCCAAACAACAAGAUGUUGCAAUUUUAAAAACGACAAGCAAGAUUCAGGACAAAAUUGCCAAAUUAGAAAAAAAACAAAAAACUAUCAAAUCAGUGUUCUAAGAACAAUCCCCUAAAUGUGGUGAUCAAGCAAAUUUUGUCUUCCUGUAAUCGGAGCUGAAAAAAAUCUACUUGCGAUCAAUGUUUUUAAUUUAAAAAUAAAAACACAAAAAAAAAGAAAACUCCCCCAAAAAUGUUUAUUAAUAAAAUUAAUUUCAAAAUCUAACUUUUCUUGAUUACUCUUUAUACUCCUUUGCAUAGUCUGCUUGCUUGUUCUUGGUAAAUUAAAGAAAUAGAAUAGAAUAUGUCCAGGUUCUGUGCUAUAGCAACUUAACACAAAGCAUAACCCGCCCUUUAACCCUUUCUGUUGGAAAAUGGUAAAAAGUCUCCAUCUAUUGUUUGUAUGGCGCUGAUAGUCAUGUUGCAGAAUUGGCAGAUAGCUAACCUCUCUGGUGGCUCACAUCUAUGUUGAAUAUUCUGUAUGUUCUUUCUGAAAUUAAUAAUUAUUGUGGAACAUCACAAGAUGAAAUCAGACAUAUCGGCAACUAAACAUGACACAUCACAUCCAACAGCAAUGACGAUGGGAAGCCCUAGCAAAAUCUUAUUUUGUGAUUAUAGUAUUUAGAGACUGUAGGAUCCAUGACGCACUCACCAGUCAAUGACUAGUGACAAGUGCAAAUAUUAAGCCCUGUAGAUAUAUAUUUAUAUUGAAUAAAUCAACUAAAUAAUGUUCAAAUGACUGCCACGUUACUGCUGCUACUUGGAAAUAAUCCGUUUAUUUAUGGUAGGAUUGUUGUUGCAUUGUUGAAUAAACAGGAAUCGACAUUAUUCCAAUAAUUUUCCGUACAUUCACCUCUUUCGAUAUGCUAACAAUAAAAGGGACAGUAUAGGCACCCAGACCACGUAUCUCAUUCAAGUCCCCUUGGGGCUGCAAUCUAAAACGCUUAAAAAAAAAGGUUUUAGAGAAACUGCAAUCUAAAAAGGUUUAUAUUAACUGCACUGUUUAUAUCGCAAUGAUAAGACAGGCUCUAAUUAAUGUCCAGUAGACAACCUCUAGUGAAUAUCCAGUAGACAGCCCCUAGUGAAUGUCCAGUAACAGCCUCUAGUGACUGUCCAGUAGACAGUCUCUAGUGAAUGUCCAGUAGACAGCCUCUAGUGAAUGUCCAGUAGACAGCCAUUAGUGAAGGUCCAGUGAAUGUCCAGUAGACAGCCUCUAGUGAAUGUCCAGUAGACAGCCACUAGAGAUGCUUCCUGGCCCUUCACAGAGUUUAACUCAGUGAAACGACAUUAAAUGUCGUACAUGAGGACGUACAGCCCUUCAAAUUCCCCAGGGGGAAGGCCUAAUGCGUGCGCGGCACUAGGUUCCCCCACCACACUGACAUCGGAUGAGGAGGAGGCUGAGCCAGCAAAAAGGGCUAAGUGAAAAAAAGGUUUUUAACACUUUAAUCACUGGAUGGGGGUGUAGUGGCAGAGGGACUCAUGUUCAGCUUUGAGAGGUGCAUGCAAGGAACUACAGCCAUAACGUUACGCAUGGAUGGCUUCUGCCUCUGGUUCACUGAGAGGAAUUAUUACCAGGUUACAGAUGGAGGGAUGACUUAGGCUUGCUAAUGGUGGUUGUGGUGGGAAUGGAUGCCAGGCUUAGGGUUUGCUGCAGGUUUGCGAGUGGUCCUUGUAUUUAUAUGACUACAUGGGAUUGGCUGGCUUAGAAGGGUUCUGGCAUGGUAAUGGUAAUGGACGGUGCAGACUUACUUGGAAUGUAGCAUUUACAUGUAAGUUUCCAUCUUAAAGGGACACUAUAGUCACCAGAACAACUACAGCUUAAUGCUUUUAUUUGUGUUCUGGUGAGUGUAGUCAGUCCCUGCAGGCUUUCAUAGAAAACGCACUGUUUACAGUACAGCCAAGGAACAACUCUAGUGGCCACAUCUUAGACGGUCAUUGGAGGUGCUUCCUAGGGCAAUGCUGCACAGUGUGGGGAAGCAUUGGGAUUAGCUGAGAUAAUCAAUUCUGAUGAUGUCAGCCAAAGAGGUGGACUGGGGACGGGGACAGACAUGUGGAGCCACGCACUGUGCUUGAAAAAGGUGAGUAAAUCCCAUUUCUAACCCCAGGUAAGGGGGCCGACCAUCGAAACGGUGAUUUUAGAACUAUAGUGUCAAAAUAUACGUUUGUGUUCCUGACACUAUAGUGCCUUUUACAGUUUACCAUUAGUUAUACUGAUUGCUAAUAGUGCUCCCCACAUUUCAAGUAAUCUUUCAAACUCAAAGCACAGUUACAACUCACAUGUCAUGCACAAGCAAUGAUAAAAAAAAAAAACUCUAAUGAAGCCUCUGUAGUCGUUAACCUGCAACUGGCUAAACUAUAGCAUUGCUAACAUGAUUACUGCAAUAUCUGGAAACCAGUCUACUGUAAGGUGGGUCACCCAACUCUACUGUACUUUAACACAGAGAGCUAAGCAAUACCAGCCUAUGGCCGGAAUGGAGUAAAAGAUAUGCAAAUCUCACAAGGAAAUGCCGAAGGAAUCACUGAAUGGUCAGAACAAGCUUAGCGAUGGAAAUUGAGUUAUUAAGACUAUAUUAUAUAUGGCCUUUAAAAAGUGUUUUGAGAAUGAAGGCAGGUGAUUUAUACAAUGCUAUAAAUAUGACGUAUAGAGUGCAUGUGUUUAUUGAGAAGGUGGAUGGACAAUCUCUUUAUAUUUUAUAUGUUAAUACAGUCCUGCAAGCAUCCUUCAUUUUUUGGGGGGGUUGUCUCUACUUUCAUACUGUAAACACUGUCAAGGUUUCAGGCUCUGCUCACUAUCCUGGAGACUUUUUCCAACUCUGCAACAUGUGGCCAAUGUAUUUGUCAAGUCAUCAGAACUGAGCUGUUUAGUAAACAAACCCCUAGGGCUAAAAAAGUAAUGGCAAGCCUUGGGCAGUGCAUGAUUUCCCACGAUGCACAGAGAGUUAGCCACCACUGACCUAGAAUUUAAUUAACAUUUGCCUGAGGUUAACAGUAGCAGUUCAUAUUAGCUGAGAAAAAAGACAAACCUGAUUUGUCAAAAUUCUGGAAUCUUGCCGACAUGCGCACCACACCUGCACAUAAAUAGUUAAACGAGCUGGAGUUUGGGGCAUAUGUGACAUUGAAGUACCCGCCUCCAUUUUCCAGUGUAAGACAAGACCUGUGUAAAAACAACUUCUACUGGGUCACUAAUAUAAUUAAUUAAUUGCUAAAUCAGUAUAUC